rnacentral:rRNA from 1 species
AUUGAACGCUGGCGGCAUGCUUUACACAUGCAAGUCGGACGAGUGGCGAACGGGUGAGUAACGCAUCGGAACGUACCUAGUAUGGGGGAUAACUGUCCGAAAGGACAGCUAAUACCGCAUAUUAUUCGAGCGGCUGUUGUCUGAUUAGCUGGUUGGCGGGGUAAAGGCCCAUCAAGGCGACGAUCAGUAGCGGGUCUGAGAGGAUGAUCCGCAACACUGGGACGGGGACACUGCCCAGACUCCUACGGGAGGCAGCAGUGGGGAAUUUUGGACAAUGGGCGCAAGCAUGAUCCAGCCAUGCCGGGUGUCUGAAGAAGGCCUUCGGGUUGUAAAAAUCUUUUGUAUGGGACGCAGUACCAUACGAAUAAGGACCGGCUAAUUACGUGCCAGCAGCCGCGGUAAUUC